AAAGGGAGGGCUGGGGCUGAUGAGCUGGGAGAAGGUGUGCGCCCUUCUCCUGCCCCCAGCUCCUCUCUGGACCCCUGUCCUAACCCCUCCUCGGUCCCUGGUUCCGUCUGCCCCUUUCCCACGGCGGCCCGUCCUCAGCCCGUCUUGGGCCAGGAUGUGCUCCCUGGCCUGCGGACUCUGGAGCAGGGCCCGGCCACUCCCCGGAGCCUGUAUGACGGGAACCGCCCCGCGUCCUCUCCCCUACGCGGGGCAGGCCGGCCCUGGGGCGCCUUAAAAACCGGAGCUGGCACUUGGCAGCGCCACUCUGGGCUGGAUCCAACGUCGCUCCGGCUGCUCUUGACGACUCCACAGAUUCCCCGAAGCUAUGGCCAGCAAGGGCUUGCAGGACCUGAAGCAACAGGUGGAGGGGACCGCCCAGGAAGCCGUGUCAGCGGCCGGAGCAGCAGCUCAGCAAGUGGUGGAUCAGGCCACAGAGGCGGGGCAGAAAGCCAUGGACCAGCUGGCCAAGACCACCCAGGAAACCAUCGACAAGACUGCUAGCCAGGCCUCUGACACCUUCUCUGGGAUCGGGAAAAAAUUCGGCCUCCUGAAAUAACAGCAGGGAGACCUGGGUGACCCCCCUCCAGGCGCCAUCCAGCAGAGCCUGGCCCAGACCUCUGGGCAUCCGCCACCUCCUCGGUCUGCCCCCUCAUUAAAAUUCACGUUCCCACCCUGUGUUCACUUCAUGACUCCUCGCAAGCUGGGCCCAGUCCUCCCAUCCCAAGAGCAGAGCCACCAUAGCUGAAGUCCUAGCUUCCCAAAUUCGGAAAUCCAAGCCAACUGUCUCAGGAAUGUUUCCCAUCCCGCCACUCGCCUCCCGACGCUCCCAGACCAGAGGCUCAGCCCCCAUCUCUGUUACUGCCCCUCCCCCGCCCGACUCUGGAGCCAGCCCCCGCCCCUUAUUCCCUGCCCCAGGAUCCUGGCCCUUCCUGGGAGUCGGACUGGACUCGGUCCUCAGAUCCUCGGAAGGCUCAGCUCUGGGCGGGGCAAGGAGCCCUGCAAGGGCGGGGGCCUCGGGAACUUCUCUCUGCCAGCUGGGACUAGGGGCUGGGAACAGGGGAGACGACCCAGGGCCACGGCCCCUCGGGACUUCAGGCGGCCGGAGGUCGUGGGGGCGAAGCCGAGUCGCGAGCCGGGCUUCCGGCCCGCGCUACCCCGUCUGGGCCCGCGGGUUGCCCGCGCGCCCGUCCCACCCAGCGGUGAGUCAUGGGGCAGGGCCCGCGGGACGCUUUGUUGAGUGUGGCGCUGCCGCCCGGCGGGGUCCCGCCCUGACACUCCCCGGGGAGGGGCUUCGGGGCACUGGGCCGUGCACGUGAGAACGAAGCACGGGGGGGCCGUGCACGUGCGCUCCUGCGCCAGCGUGCAGGAGACCCCCCUCCCUUCCACACCGCUUCCCUUCGGUACAAACCGGUAAUCUCCGGCCCUGGACGGUUUUGUUGGGCGGGUCCCGGAUGGAAUGGGGUUCCCAACAUCCCCUGGCACUUCACGCGCGCGGCCCCGGUACGGAGUAUGCCCUGCCGGUUAGAGUGACUUGUUAUUGGUAAAUAGCCACUAUGGAGACUAAAGACCAGAAGAAACACAGAAAGAAAUUUUACAGAAAGAAAAACAGUGGGCCCAAAACUGAAAAGAAAAAGAAGCGGCAUCUGCAGGAUCUCCAACUAGGAGACGAAGAAGAUGCCCGGAAGAGAAAUCCCAAAGCCUUUGCAGUUCAGUCUGCUGUGCGGAUGGCUCGAUCCUUUCACAGGAGUCAGGAUUUGAAGACAAAAAAGCAUCAUAUUCCAGUGGUUGAUCAAACUCCACUAGAGCCCCCACCAAUAGUGGCAGUGGUGAUGGGGCCUCCAAAGUUGGAAAGCGCACUUUGAUACAAUGCCUCAUUCAGAGCUUCACCCGGCAGAAGUUGACCGAGAUCAGAGACCCUGUGACGAUCGUGUCAGGUAAAAAGCACAGAUUCGCCAUUAUUGAAUGUGGGUGUGACAUUAACAUGAUGGUUGAUCUGGCUAAAGUAGCAGAUCUGGGUGCCAAGCUGUUCUACUUUUCUGGAAUGAUCCCUGGAGAGUAACAAAACCAAGAAAUGCACAAUCUGGGCCAUUUUAUUACAGUUAUGAAGUUUAGGCCUUUCACAGGGCAGACUUCUCACCCUUAUAUCCUGGCAGACAGGAUGGAAGAUUUGACAAACCCAGAGGAUAUCCGAACAAACAUGAAAUGUGACCAGCAGAUGCCACUUUAUGGUUAUUUAAGAGGAGCACACUUGAAAAGUAAAAACCAAAUUCACAUGGCAGGGGUAGGAGAUUUUGCCAUGAGUGACGUCAGUUUCCUCCCAGAACCUUGUGCUCUUCCUGAACGACGAAAGAAGCACUGUUUAAAUAAGGAGAAGCUGGUUUAUGCGCCUCUUUCUGGAGUUGGGGGUGUGCUGUAUGACAAACACGCUGUCUUUGUUGACCUUGGUGGCAGGCAAGGUUUUCGUGCAUCGGACGAGGUGGGGCCCACCCAUGAACUGGUCCAGACUUCCAUGUCCACUCACUCCACUAAGAUGGCUUCAAGUUGAGUGACGCUAUUUUCUGGUUCCAAGACACUUGGGUCAGAGAAUAUAGAUAAUCACGGCUAAGCUAGCCUCCAAAGCUGGAAGCUGAAUUAAGUCGAAAAAUAAUGACAUGUAUACAAGGUGUGUUUGGAGGAUUGCAGAUGCAGGGGCACCGUACUGCUGAAGGAGUGUUGGAAGCUCACUGCAGAAGAUGAUAAAAGCAGACUGAUGUGUAUUACCUGCUGAAAUGUAAGCUGGAGGCACAGUGUCAGAGAUGGCUUUGGAUUCCCAGUUCUGUGUGCUCCUGUCUGGCUCCUGAACCCAGCUGGAGAGGUGAGUCUGGUGAAGUACUGAGAGGAAGCUACACAAAAGGCAGCAAGGUAUUAAUACGUGUACCUCUGACAUUUUAACCACCUCUGACUGUUCCAUCGAAUGGACAAGUAGCAGUCUCUGUCAGAGCUUCAUUUUAAAGAAAAAAAAAGAAACUCUGAAGUUACCAACUGUUUAUUAAUUUAUGCCGUUAUUUUGUGUUUACUCAACUCAUUAUAUUGACUUGUAAAUUAGUAAUUUCUGACCUAUUAUUUAUGAAUUCAUUGCCUACAUGUCAGCAAACAAAUUUUCUUCUCAAUAAAAAAUCCAGUGGCUGGGCACAAUGGUUCAUACCUCUAAUCUCAGCAUGUUGGGAGGGCAAGGCCAGGAGUUCAAGACCAGCCUGGGCAACAUAGCA